rnacentral:rRNA from 1 species
GACGAACGCUGGCGGCGUGCUUAACACAUGCAAGUCGAACGGAAAGGCCCUGCUUUUGUGGGGUGCUCGAGUGGCGAACGGGUGGGUAACACGUGGGUAACCUGCCCUUGACUUUGGGAUAACUUCAGGAAACUGGGGCUAAUACCGGAUAGGAGCUCCUGCUGCAUGGUGGGGGUUGGAAAGUUUCGGCGGUUGGGGAUGGACUCGCGGCUUAUCAGCUUGUUGGUGGGGUAGUGGCUUACCAAGGCUUUGACGGGUAGCCGGCCUGAGAGGGUGACCGGCCACAUUGGGACUGAGAUACGGCCCAGACUCCUACGGGAGGCAGCAGUGGGGAAUAUUGCACAAUGGGCGGAAGCCUGAUGCAGCAACGCCGCGUGCGGGAUGACGGCCUUCGGGUUGUAAACCGCUUUCGCCUGUGACGAAGCGUGAGUGACGGUAAUGGGUAAAGAAGCACCGGCUAACUACGUG